CGGCAACAGCUCAAAUUUGAAAUCUGGCCCCAGGCCCGAGUUGUAAUUUGCAGAGGAUGCUUUUGGCGACGUGCCUUCCGAGUUCCCUGGAACGGGACGCCAUAGAGGGUGAGAGCCCCGUCUGGUUGCGCGCCUAGCCUGUGUAAAGCUCCUUCGAC
rnacentral:rRNA from 1 species